GAACGACUCUCGGCAACGGAUAUCUCGGCUCUCGCAUCGAUGAAGAACGUAGCGAAAUGCGAUACUUGGUGUGAAUUGCAGGAUCCCGUGAACCACCGAGUCUUUGAACGCAAGUUGCGCCCGGAGCCUUCUGGCCGAGGGCACGUCUGCCUGGGCGUCACGC
rnacentral:rRNA from 3 species